UACGGGGGGAGCAAGCGUUGUUCGGAUUUACUGGGCGUAAAGGGCGCGUAGGCGGUCGUGACAAGUCACUUGUGAAAUCUCCGGGCUUAACUCGGAACGGUCAAGUGAUACUGUCGACUAGAGUACAGAAGGGGCAACUGAAUUCUCGUGUAGCGGUGAAAUGCGUAGAUAUCGAGAGGAACACCUGCGGCGAAGCGGUUGCUGGCUGAUACUGACGCUGAGGCGCGAAAGCCAGGGGAGCGAACGGG
rnacentral:rRNA from 1 species